AUACGGAGGAUCCGAGCGUUAUCCGGAUUUAUUGGGUUUAAAGGGUGCGCAGGCGGGAGAUUAAGUCGGCGGUGAAAUUUUGCAGCUCAACUGUAAAAGUGCCUUCGAAACUGGUUUCCUUGAGUGUAGAUGAAGUAGGCGGAAUUUGUGGUGUAGCGGUGAAAUGCAUAGAUAUCACGAGGAACUCCGAUUGCGCAGGCAGCUUACUAAACUACUACUGACGCUCAGGCACGAAGGCGUGGGGAUCAAACAGGAUUAGAUACCCUGGUAGUCCACGCAGUAAACGAUGAUUACUAGCUGUUUGCGAUACAAUGUAAGCGGCUGAGCGAAAGCGUUAAGUAACCCACCUGGGGAGUACGUUCGCAAGAAUGAAACUCAAAUGAAUUGACGGGG
rnacentral:rRNA from 1 species